CCCUUAGAUGUCCUGGGCCGCACGCGCGCUACACUGAACGGAUCAGCGCGUUUUCCCUUCCCGAGAGGGACGGGUAACCUGCUGAACCCCGUUCGUGGUAGGGAUCGGGGCUUGCAAUUAUUCCCCGUGAACCAGGAAUGCCCAGUAAGUGCAAGUCAUAAGCUUGCGUUGAUUACGUCCCUGCCCUUUGUACACACCGCCCGUCGCUACUACCGAUUGAACGUUUUAGUGAGGUACUCGGACUGAGCCUCAGAAGAUUCACGUCUUUUGUGCUGCUCGGGAAGAUUCCCAAACGUGAGCGUUUAGAGGAAGUAAAAGUCGUAACA
rnacentral:rRNA from 1 species